rnacentral:rRNA from 1 species
AUUGAACGCUGGCGGCAGGCCUAACACCUGCAAGUCGAGCGAGCGGCGGCCGGGUGAGUAAUGUAUGGGGACUGCCCGGUAGAGGGGGAUAACUACUGGAAACGGUAGCUAAUACCGCAUACUAUCGGAUAACCCAUAUGGGAUUAGCUAGUAGGUGAGGUAAUGGCUCACCUAGGCGACGCUCCCUAGCUGGUCUGAGUGGAUGAUCAGCCACACUGGGAAUGAGACACGGCCCAGACUCCUACGGAGGAAGCAGAGGGGAAGAUUGCACAAUGGGCGAAAGCCUGAUGCAGCCAUGCCGCGUGUAUGAAGAAGGCCCUAGGGUUGUAAAGUACUUUCAGUCGGGAGGCGUUACCGACAGAAGAAGCACCGGCUAACGCAGUGCCAGCAGCCGCGGUAAUAC